GCCCUGGGAUAAAUCCAAGGUGACACCUGCCCAAUGGUCUAAAACUCUAUUUAAAAGUAGGAAAAUUAACUUAAUGGCUGCAGUAUUCCUGACUGUAUUAAGGUAGCACAAUCAAUCGCCACUUAAUUGGUGGAUGGUAUGAAUGGUAUAACGAGAGUUUCACUGUCUCAAGUAUAUAAAGAAAAAAAUUGAAAUAAUAGUCAAGAUCCUAUUUAAAAUCGUAAGACGACAAGACCCUAUAAAGCUUUACUGUUAAUAUUCAAAAAAGAAUACAAGACAGUUUACUUGGGGCAAGGACUUUUUAAAAAGAAAAAAAGUAAACAAAAUUAAUAAACAAAAUUUAUUGUAUAAACCAUGAUUUUAACAAUUACUAAGUAGGUUAUAAUGACCUGUUAACAUUGAAAAAAAAAGUUAACAAUCAAUUGAUAAAAGCUACUUUAGGGAUAACAGGAUAAUUUCAUCAAAGAGAUGCUAUCACUGAUGAAGUUUGUCACCUCGAUGUUGAAUUAAGAUAACCUAACGGAGCAAAAGCUGUUAAAGGUAGGUCUGUUCGACCUUUAAACAUCUU
rnacentral:rRNA from 1 species